rnacentral:lncRNA from 1 species
GGGCGGGCCCGGGCGAGGUUAGGGUGUCCUUGCAGGGUGCUGGGCUAAACUUCACCAAAUAAAAGCUGUUUGUGUUGGGGCGGCCGCGGAGCCAUUUUGGAAAUAACAUUCAUCCCAGAUUUGAUGAUAAUGAAAAUACAGAAAAAAGAAAAGCAGGGGAAGAGCCUGACCGUCGGCGCUCUGCUGAGGGGAAAGGACCUGUUACAUGUGUGGAGCCUCACUCUGCCUGCAGGGCUGAAAUAUUGCUGGAGGUAUAAAACAAACUGGUCUGCCCAGAGCUAAUUUGUGUCUGUGCUGCUUUUAAUGGGAAACCAUUAAA